rnacentral:tRNA from 1 species
GGGCCGUUAGCUCAGCUGGUAGAGCAGUGGACUCUUAAUCCAUUGGUCGUAGGUUCGAAUCCUACACGGCCUACCA